UACGUAGGGGGCAAGCGUUGUCCGGAAUCAUUGGGCGUAAAGAGCGUGUAGGCGGCCUGGUAAGUCCGCUGUGAAAGUCCAGGGCUCAACCCUGGAAUGCCGGUGGAAACUGUCAGGCUCGAGUCCGGAAGAGGCGAGUGGAAUUCCUGGUGUAGCGGUGAAAUGCGCAGAUAUCAGGAGGAACACCAAUGGCGAAGGCAGCACUCUGGGACGUGACUGACGCUGAGACGCGAAAGCGUGGGGAGCAAACAGG
rnacentral:rRNA from 1 species